CCAAAUUGAAGAAAGGACGACAUGAGGGAUUCCAGCACAAGCAGGAGACCAAGGAAAGAAGGACGGCAGGGACAAAGUUGUCCCAUGACCAGUGUUUUCAACCUUCCAGAAAAAGCCCUGAAAAUGAAAGUCUAGAGCCCAGAUUGCUUAAAGAGGAAGAAUGGCAAGCACAGAAUCCUACAGGGGACCCCCAGGCCCAGCCCCAGCCCAGCCUAAUUAAGUGAGUGACUUAAGGGAGCUGCCUCUGCAAGAUUAAGAGAGCAUCUUACGGGGCACAACCUACCUGCUUCUAUCUGGUAGAGCUCCCCCAUUGUCCUACACCAGGACCAAGGCUUCAAGGGCUUUU